rnacentral:rRNA from 1 species
GAGACUCUGUGCGCGUGCAUAUCAAUAAGCGGAGGAAAAGAAACUAACAAGGAUUCCCUUAGUAACGGCGAGUGAAGCGGGAAGAGCUCAAAUCUGAAAUCUUCAAGGUUCUACCUUGACGAAUUGUAGUUUAAAGAAGUGUUUUCUGUUAGUGGAGUGGCAAAAGUUCUCUGGAAUAGGACAUCAUAGAGGGUGAGAAUCCCGUAUUUGGUCAUUCCUUCUAGCUUUGUGAUACACUUUCAAAGAGUCGGAUUGUCUGGGAAUGCAGUCCAAAAUGGGUGGUAAAUUUCAUCUAAAGCUAAAUAUUGGCGAGAGACCGAUAGCGAACAAGUACCGUGAGGGAAAGAUGAAAAGAACUUUGAAAAGAGAGUUAAACAGUACGUGAAAUUGUCAAAAGGGAAGCGUUUGACACCAGUGUUGUUUUUCCGAAAAUCAAUUAUAAAUGUUUUGUUUCUGAGGAGUGAUGACUUCAUCGGCUUCCUUCUCUCUUCACGAAACUUUUGUAAUGCACUUUUCGGUUAACAAGUCAACAUCAAUUUCUUUUGUUGUAAAAGAGUAUACGGAAGGUGGCUUUCUUUUCGGAGAAAGUGUUUAUAGCCCUAUACUUCUACAAUCGGAGAGAUUGAGGUCUGCAGCGUAGAUCCUUCGGGGUUAGAUACAUUUGUGCUAAGUUAUAGCUUUUCAUAGACAACUUGUUGACUAUGUUUAGUCAUGUCGCUUACUCGCUUAUGCUAUUUUACCUACGCUUAGGAUGUUGACUGAUAUGUAGUCGUA